GGACUACUGGGGUUUCUAAUCCUGUUUGCUCCCCACGCUUUCGCACCUCAGUGUCAGUAUGAGCCCAGGUGGUCGCCUUCGCCACUGGUGUUCCUUCCUAUAUCUACGCAUUUCACCGCUACACAGGAAAUUCCACCACCCUCUGCCCUACUCUAGCUUGCCAGUUUUGGAUGCAGUUCCCAGGUUGAGCCCGGGGCUUUCACAUCCAACUUAACAAACCACCUACGCGCGCUUUACGCCCAGUAAUUCCGAUUAACGCUUGCACCCUCUGUAUUACCGCGGCUGCUGGCAC
rnacentral:rRNA from 1 species